rnacentral:rRNA from 1 species
GACGAACGCUGGCGGCGUGCCUAAUACAUGCAAGUAGAACGCUGAAGGAGGAGCUUGCUUCUCUGGAUGAGUUGCGAACGGGUGAGUAACGCGUAGGUAACCUGCCUGGUAGCGGGGGAUAACUAUUGGAAACGAUAGCUAAUACCGCAUAACAGUAGAUGUUACAUGACAUUUGCUUAAAAGGUGCAAUUGCAUCACUACCAGAUGGACCUGCGUUGUAUUAGCUAGUUGGUGGGGUAACGGCUCACCAAGGCGACGAUACAUAGCCGACCUGAGAGGGUGAUCGGCCACACUGGGACUGAGACACGGCCCAGACUCCUACGGGAGGCAGCAGUAGGGAAUCUUCGGCAAUGGACGGAAGUCUGACCGAGCAACGCCGCGUGAGUGAAGAAGGUUUUCGGAUCGUAAAGCUCUGUUGUAAGAGAAGAACGAGUGUGAGAGUGGAAAGUUCACACUGUGACG